GUGUUGGUCACUUUAUGACUGCACGAACUAAGAUACGAUUGAGAAGACUCGGUCAAACUACUUUCGUAACGCUUCUUUAAUCAGGCUGUGACGUAUUUGUGAACUGUGGCCUGCAGCCACUUCCUGCUGACCCUUGAACUCGGUGACUUCCGUCUGUGUUGCGCUCACCUCUGAACUGUGUGCAAAGUGUAGUGGUGGCAGUAAAAGGUACUAAUCUUACUGUUGGGCGAUGUGCAGGAGUUUGCGUUCUGGCUCUGCAUUACCCCAACUUGGGCAACUUUUUUGCCUCAAUUUCAUCUGUAGAAUCACAGUCAUAGCCAGCUAAGGACUUGUUGACAUCAUAGUAAGGCGUAGGUAAAAGUUACUAGCCUUUUUUGUAUACUGUCCUCAUGUUUGUUUUGUUGUUCUUUUCUUUUGGGAACUUGUUCUCACCAUGUUGCCUCGUCUGGCCUUGAACUUCUGAACCUCCAGCGUCAGCCUCCCAAGUGUUGACAUUGUGAGUUUAGAGUUCUACCAAAGGCAAAAAUUCUCUUCUGUUCGAAAAGCUAAAAGUUAGCAAGACCCUUUCUCCACAAAAAGGCUGGACACUGAGAAACAGCACAGUAAAAAACAAAUACAAAACAAGCCAAUGUCCACACCAGCAGGCUGAUGGGUCCUCGACAGAAGGCCAAAGGCUCUGUGAUGAAAAGCUGAACAGUCUACGCUGGGAAGCUGAAGAGUCUGUACUGGAAGCCAGGAGGCGAGGUCCAAACUAAAGGUGAAGACUGGAGCUUCUCCCAAGAAUGGCAUGGAUUUGUCCUUCCUCCUCUCCUUUUAUACCUCGAAGUGAGAACUCACCCUCUUGUGGGUCUUCUUCUACAUCCUUGGGUGUAGAAUUGCUAAACCCAUUUAGUUAGCUUCUAACUGUCUCAAGUUGACACAAUCAAUCAACCACUAGACUGUACAAUCAGGGUUUAGUUCAUAAAAAUCUUUGCCUAAACCAGUGUCUUCAAGAGGUUUAUGUAUGUAAUCUAACAGUCUUAAGCAGUUUAGUGCUUCUGUUUUAUUUUUAUUUUUGGUACUAGAGAUCAAUCAAACUCAUGACCUUGUAUUUGCCAGGCAGGUGCUUGUGCUGCUGAGCUAAACCCCCAACCCAUGCUUCUGUUUUAAUCUUUAGAUCUUUGCCCUAUUUUGAUUUUAGUUUAGUACAUGGUCAAGGAUAUAGGUCUAACUUUAAGCUUUGGCAUGUGAAAAGCUGGUUUUUCCACACCAUUUAUUAAAGAAGCUAUCUUUUUUCCA